GACAGAGGGGGGCAAGCGUUGCUCGGAAUCACUGGGCGUAAAGGGCGCGUAGGCGGUCAGCACAAGUCAGUUGUGAAAUCUCCGGGCUUAACUCGGAAAGGUCAACUGAUACUGUGCGACUAGAGUGCGGAAGGGGCAACUGGAAUUCUCGGUGUAGCGGUGAAAUGCGUAGAUAUCGAGAGGAACACCUGCGGCGAAGGCGGGUUGCUGGGCUGACACUGACGCUGAUGCGCGAAAAGCCAGGGGGAGCGAACGGGG
rnacentral:rRNA from 1 species